rnacentral:rRNA from 1 species
CAGUCGACGCUGAAGCUGGGUGCUUGCACCUGGUGGAUGAGUGGCGAACGGGUGAGUAAUACGUGAGUGACCUUCCUUGGACUCUGGGAUAAGCCCGGGAAACUGGGUCUAAUACCGGAUACGACCAGUCCUCGCAUGGGGUGCUGGUGGAAAGGGUUUGUACUGGUUCUUGAUGGGCUCACGUCCUAUCAGCUUGUUGGUGAGGUAAUGGCUUACCAAGGCGACGACGGGUAGCCGGCCUGAGAGGGUGACCGGCCACACUGGGACUGAGACACGGCCCAGACUCCUACGGGAGGCAGCAGUGGGGAAUAUUGCACAAUGGGCGCAAGCCUGAUGCAGCGACGCCGCGUGGGGGAUGACGGCCUUCGGGUUGUAAACCUCUUUCAGCAGGGAAGAAGCGAAAGUGACGGUACCUGCAGAAGAAGCGCCGGCUAACUACGUGCCAGCAGCCGCGGUAAUACGUAGGGCGCAAGCGUUGUCCGGAAUUAUUGGGCGUAAAGAGCUCGUAGGCGGUUUGUCGCGUCUGCUGUG